CUUGAGGAAAGAUACCCUGGGCGAAACCUAGCCAGUCACCAGCAGUACCUGCUAGUCUGAAACUGCCAUUUAUAAGCUCCUCACCUUGAAGUGCCUGAAAGCUAUAUGUAUAGUCAGGAAAAAGAAAAUUAACCAAGGUUUAUGUAUUGUACCAUGGAAAAAGGCCAAAAUGGAGUGACAGUGUUUGGGGGCACUUAAAAUGGAGUUGGGAGGCCAUCAUUCAUCAGAUCUCAGAUACAGCUCAGCUGAGCCUUUAACUAGGCCAAACCACAGUUUCCUGGAACGUUGUUAACUUCUGCUGACUGGAGGGUGGACUCCUUACCCCCACUACCCAGACACUGAGAUUGCAACCAGCCCCUUUCUCGUAUAGAACAGCUUUUCUUCUGCCAGCACCAGUUAAAGUUUCCGAUCAACAAGUGGUGUGAUUUCCAGCCCCCCUGGUGGCUAAAAGCUCUGAAUGCAGUCUUCAUUUUCUAGAACCUCAGAGCACAUUCUCAAGAAUGCUUGAAUCUGUGUUCUCCCAGAUUGCAAUCCUAAACAGUCCCAGAUAAAUGUAAUUUUCGUUGUUAUCAUAUUCUUGGUUGACAGUCUUACUGAUAGUAACAACAAAUGCUCAUUUUAGGCGACACCAUUGCAAUUAGACCUAAACUUAAAUCUGUGAUUUAUUUUCAGAAAAUUAUUAAUCUCAUUAUUGACAUUACUAAUAACUGACAGAAAAGAUCAAAUUAGAAGCUAAGCUUUUUUUUUUUUAGCUCUUUUUAGAACAUAUAAAUAGAGGUUUUCCUGGAGGAAGAAGGUGGGCCUGAGCCAUACCUGAAAAUAGACAGAGACAGAUGGCAAGCCAAGGGGGCCAGCUGUUAAGAACCACACAAGCCCCAUAGUGUUCGGAAGGAACCAGGGAAAGGCAAAGGCAGUAUGCGGGGCAGUUAGCACAAAAGUGGGGUGCCCAAGCCAUGGACAGCAAGAACAAAGCAAUGUUAAAAUAGAACUUGCUUAAGUCACUUUGAGACAAUAUGAUCCAUGUAGGACUUCACACCUGAGGGUAAAUAUCUUAAAAUAUCUAAGACAGCUAAAGAUGUCUGAAUUUUCAUUCCACUUGGUAGAGGGGAAGUACCUGGAUCCAAAAGCUGACCAGGCUAACAGAUCAGAAAGGCAUGGUUCUGGGGUUUUGUUUAUUUUCUGUCUUUUUGGUCUUUUUAUGAGUUUGGAAUGCACUCUGUGGAUCUUUUUUGUUGUUUCUGAGGGGUUGGUUUUGUUUUGCUUAUUUUAGAUCCUGAAAUGCAGAUGGUUUGCACAGAAGGGGUUUUGGCCUUCACAGGGACCUGGGAGUCCAUGUCAGCUCUGUCAGAGUUAAAAUGUCUUCUUUUACAAGGGUCAUCAAAAGACAAAGGCCUGCCCUGCUAAUCCCAAAGCACAGCAUAGCAGAUCUGGAAACAUAAUACCUUUUAGAGUCUUACAAGCUCCUCAGGCUUCUGUCUGCCUCCUCAUAACAAAGAAGAAUUUAUCUGUUGAUGUAUUUUCUCUGUUUUUAACUAAGUAGCCCCCCUCCCCCUGCACACGGCCUCUUUCUGUUACUGUGCCCAUUAAGACCCAGAGACCUGCUCUAGGGGACCCAGGCCGGGGGCUCUCUGGCCUUUGAUCUUUGCCCUUCACCUGAUCCUGUUUGGCAGGGGAAUUACAUCUGGGCUCCAGACGUCAUGGCCACUUGACCGUAUGUCACAUGGAGGAGACCCAAAGAAGAAACCAGGCCUUAAAAAGGAUUUCUGCCCAGAGAAAAGUACUGAAAGCUCUUCACAGAACACCGUGGUGACAGGCACAGAGACUAAAUACACACGCUCACCCAAGUGGAGGGAGAGGCGGCUUUUCCUCCAUCAUCAAUGACUGUCGUAUGCUGGCAGCUGGAAGUUUGCUGGGGCCCCUCAGGCAUUGUGUUGUGGGAUUCCCGUGUGUGGCAGAAAGGGGAAGGGAUGUCCUAUGGCAAGGACAUCAGGGGACCAAGGAUUGCCUUUCUAACUCCCAGCGUGAGGCUGACUUUCAUUGUAUUCUUUCAAUAAAGUACGUACACGGGCUGCUGCCCCUGCUGUUCUCUGGUUCAUCAUUGGUAGUGUGAAUUCCACUUUUCACCCAUUUUUGCUUCAGAGUUCAAAGCCAGCUACUCCAAAAAGAUGAAUCAUCCUCUUCUUGGCUGUGGUUACCCAGGACUUAAACUCCAGGAACCAAGCUUAGCACUUUCUCCUCUUAAGAUUUAUCUCCACUUGGACUAACUUUGUUAUCCCAGAGUUUAGGUUCAAAAAGACUGAGACACUUAAACAUUUAAUGGACUCUACUUAGC
rnacentral:lncRNA from 1 species